GUCCCGACUAAAUCUCGUGCCAGCAGUCGCGGUUAGACGAGGGGGGCAAGCGUUAAUCAUCUUAAAUAGGUCUAAAGGGUGGGUAGACUGUUUGGAUAAGUUAAAAAUAUAAAUUACUACCAAACUAGAGUUUAAAAUAGGAAUUAAGAAUUUUAAGAGUAGAGGUGAAAUUCAAAUACUUGAAGGACUACUACAAGUGAAGACCUAAUUCUAUACUAAAACUGACGUUGAGCCACGAAAGCUAGGGUCGCGAAACGGAUUUGAUACCCGUAUAGUCCUAAGCAGUAAACGAUGAAUGCUAGAUUUUAAGUAGAAAUUCUAGUGAAGACGGAAGCAUUCCACCUGGUGAGUACGUUCGCAAGAGUGAAAUCCAAGACAUUAGGCGGUUGUAGACAGCAGCAGUUAAGC
rnacentral:rRNA from 1 species